CGAAAAGCGUGACACUGCCCGUUGCACGCAAAAAAUUGGUUCCGCUGCUUCCUCCAACCCCUAAUCAGCUUUUAAUUCACGACGAACUCGCGCUGAGUGGCGCAUUUGUAGGAGUUCUCGGUAAAAAGUACGACUUGACACUUUAAGUCAGCAGUGUAGCUCUACAGACGUGGCAUCGUCGCACAGCCACGCAACAGCAAAUGCGAACCGUCACAUAGAAAUGAUCACAAAAUGGUGACGCAAAGGGAAAAACAACCAAUAAACAUGUGUGUUUCUUUAACCAGAAACAUUGUCGUGACUUAUUAAUUGCGCUACCACUUUUGUUGGAUCUUUAACUGCCGCAAAUUUCCUAUUUUCAUUAUUUGUGUUUUGCACGACUGCGGCUUCGACGUGUGGUAUCGACAUGCAUGCCAGGGCAUUUUGGUUUGCGGCCUUGGCUUUGGCGGCUCCAGCGGCGGCACUGUUCCACUGUGGAACUCCAUUAGCUCGGUACUUUUGCUAGCUUUGAUCAUGGAUAUAAGUCGAUAGCUAAUUAUGGGUAGCAUUUCUGAAAAAAAAAAAGAAGGUUGACCUA
rnacentral:lncRNA from 1 species